UGGGGAAUUUUGGACAAUGGGCGAAAGCCUGAUCCAGCAAUGCCGCGUGCAGGAAGAAGGCCUUCGGGUUGUAAACUGCUUUUGUACGGAACGAAAAGGCUCUUUCUAAUAAAGGGGGCUCAUGACGGUACCGUAAGAAUAAGCACCGGCUAACUACGUGCCAGCAGCCGCGGUAAUACGUAGGGUGCGAGCGUUAAUCGGAAUUACUGGGCGUAAAGCGUGCGCAGGCGGUUCUAUAAGACAGAUGUGAAAUCCCCGGGCUCAACCUGGGAAUGGCAUUUGUGACUGUAGAGCUAGAGUACGGUAGAGGGGGGAUGGAAUUCCGCGUGUAGCAGUGAAAUGCGUAGAUAUGCGGAGGAACACCGAUGGCGAAGGCAAUCCCCUGGACCUGUACUGACGCUCAUGCACGAAAGCGUGGGGAGCAAACAGGAUUAGAUACCCAUGUAGUCCCUGAGCGGGCUGGCAAGGCGCAU
rnacentral:rRNA from 1 species